GUGCUUAAAAGGAUAUAGCUAGACUUUGGGUUUUUAUUCAGGAAACUUGGGAUUAUAAUCCUACAGAUGCCUAAUGAGUUGCAUGUAUGAUAAUGUAAAGUUCAACUACUUAAUCAACAAGUCUAUCAGCUUUCGCAUGUUUGGACUUGUAUACUAACUAGAUCUAAUGAUCUCAACUAUCGUUUAUCGAUCAAUUAGAAAGUGACGAUUGAUG
rnacentral:lncRNA from 1 species